AGCCCUUCCCUCUUUUCCCAGCACAGGCUUUCAAUCUCUUCUCGUUUUACAAUCCUCUGUGCUAGUUCUCUGAGUGCGGGUAGGGGCAAUACGACCUUCUAUUGAAAGCAUGUCCUGGUUAUUCUACAAAUCCUUAUACUGCUAAAAAAAUAUUUGUUAUCUUGACAGCUUUUUUGGGCCAGUUCACAUGUGCAGGACUUUGGACCCC